rnacentral:lncRNA from 1 species
CAUGAUUUAGCUCUAACUCUGCACAGAGAACUGGGUGCCCUGAUGUAUUGGUUAUGACAUCUUAGAGGAGGAGAGCAGAGAGAAGAAGCUUAAGUGUUGGGCAUAAAUCACUAAGCUUUCACUUUUCAGGAUCUUCCCACAUCACAAGGGUGAUGUUGAGAGAGCUGGCUCCUCCCAGCAUGAUCCUGGGCACCGCUGGGCACUUGGUAUAUCCAGGGGAGCCUCGAAGAGGGCAGGAUGAAGCUGACUGGAGAAUACCAAGGGCCACACCAGCUUCCCAACUUUCUCAAGAACAGUUUCCUACAAAAAGAAAAUACCAACAGCCAUCUGGACACCCACCUUCCUGCAACUUCUGGAGCCAACACGAGAGCGCACGGAGCAUGGUGUCACACGCAGGGCAGGGCCCACAGGCAUGUCCCACAGGCUGGGGCAGACACAAAGGCCAAACAGUGCAUGUGAAAGUUGAGGAAGUCGCCACUCCUCACUGUCUUCACAAAUAGCAGCAGUGACAGAGCUAUGCGACGGCUUUUCAGACUACAUUACAGGGUGUCAUCUCAAUCCAAAACACUGAGAUCCAAAGUGCUCCAAAAUCUGGG